rnacentral:rRNA from 1 species
UACGUAGGGGGCAAGCGUUGUCCGGAUUCAUUGGGCGUAAAGAGCGUGUAGGCGGCCAGGUAGGUCGGUUGUGAAAACUGGAGGCUCAACCUUCAGAGGUCGACCGAAACCAUCUGGCUAGAGUCCGGAAGAGGCGGGUGGAAUUCCUGGUGUAGCGGUGGAAUGCGCAGAUAUCAGGAGGAACACCAACGGCGAAGGCAGCCCGCUGGGACGGUACUGACGCUAAGGCGCGAAAGCGUGGGGAGCGAACAGG